AGUGAACGCUGGCGGUAGGCCUAACACAUGCAAGUCGAACGGCAGCACCGUAAGAGCUUGCUCUUACGGGUGGCGAGUGGCGGACGGGUGAGGAAUACAUCGGAAUCUACUUUUUCGUGGGGGAUAACGUAGGGAAACUUACGCUAAUACCGCACACGACCUACGGGUGAAAGCAGGGGAUCUUCGGACCUUGCGCGAUUGAAUGAGCCGAUGUCGGAUUAGCUAGUUGGCGGGGUAAAGGCCCACCAAGGCGACGAUCCGUAGCUGGUCUGAGAGGAUGAUCAGCCACACUGGAACUGAGACACGGUCCAGACUCCUACGGGAGGCAGCAGUGGGGAAUAUUGGACAAUGGGCGCAAGCCUGAUCCAGCCAUACCGCGUGGGUGAAGAAGGCCUUCGGGUUGUAAAGCCCUUUUGUUGGGAAAGAAAAGCAGCAGGUUAAUACCCCGCUGUUCUGACGGUACCCAAAGAAUAAGCACCGGCUAACUUCGUG
rnacentral:rRNA from 1 species